GCCGGUGUAGCUCAGUUGGCAGAGCGCUCGCCUUGUAAGCGAAAGGUCAGGGGUUCGAACCCCCUCACCGGCU
rnacentral:tRNA from 1 species